UACGUAGGCAGCAAGCGUUGUUCGGAGUUACUGGGCGUAAAGAGUAUGUAGGCGGUUGGGUAAGUUUGGUGUGAAAUCUCCCGGCUUAACUGGGAGGGUGCGCUAAAGACUGCCUGACUCGAGUGUGGGAGAGGAAAGCGGAAUUCCUGGUGUAGCGGUGAAAUGCGUAGAUAUCAGGAGGAACACCUGCGGUGUAGACGGCUUUCUGGACCAUAACUGACGCUGAGAUACGAAAGCGUGGGUAGCAAACAGG
rnacentral:rRNA from 1 species